UACGGGGGGGGGCAAGCGUUGUUCGGAAUUACUGGGCGUAAAGGGCUCGUAGGCGGCCAACUAAGUCAUACGUGAAAUCCCUCGGCUUAACCGGGGAACUGCGUCUGAUACUGGAUGGCUUGAGAUUGGGAGAGGGAUGCGGAAUUCCAGGUGUAGCGGUGAAAUGCGCAGAUAUCGGGAGGAACACCGGUGGCGAAGGCGGUUCUCUGGGCCUGACCUGACGCUGAGGAGCGAAAGCGUGGGGAGCGAACAGG
rnacentral:rRNA from 1 species